GAUGAACGCUGGCGGCGUGCCUAAUACAUGCAAGUCGAGCGAACAGACGAGGAGCUUGCUCCUCUGACGUUAGCGGCGGACGGGUGAGUAACACGUGGAUAACCUACCUAUAAGACUGGGAUAACUUCGGGAAACCGGAGCUAAUACCGGAUAAUAUAUUGAACCGCAUGGUUCAAUAGUGAAAGACGGUUUUGCUGUCACUUAUAGAUGGAUCCGCGCCGCAUUAGCUAGUUGGUAAGGUAACGGCUUACCAAGGCGACGAUGCGUAGCCGACCUGAGAGGCGGAUCGGCCACACUGGAACGUAGACACGGUCCAGACUCCUACGGGAGGCAGCAGUAGGGAAUCUUCCGCAAUGGGCGAAAGCCUGACGGAGCAACGCCGCGUGAGUGAUGAAGGUCUUCGGAUCGUAAAACUCUGUUAUUAGGGAAGAACAAAUGUGUAAGUAACUAUGCACGUCUUGACGGUACCUAAUCAGAAAGCUACGGCUAACUACGUG
rnacentral:rRNA from 1 species